AGAAUCAACGCUGGCGGCGUGCCUAACACAUGCAAGUCGAACGCGAAAGCCCCGCAAGGGGUAAGUAGAGUGGCAAACGGGUGAGUAACACGUGGGUGACCUGCCUUCGAGUGGGGGAUAACGUCCCGAAAGGGACGCUAAUACCGCAUGACAUCCUGCUUUUGGAAAAGCGGAGAUCAAGGCUGGGGAUCGCAAGACCUGGCGCUUGGAGAGGGGCCCGCGCCUGAUUAGCUAGUUGGUAGGGUAACGGCCUACCAAGGCAACGAUCAGUAU
rnacentral:rRNA from 1 species